ACUCCUACGGGAGGCAGCAGUGGGGAAUAUUGGACAAUGGGCGCAAGCCUGAUCCAGCAAUGCCGCGUGGAUGAAGAAGGUCUUCGGAUUGUAAAGUCCUUUCGGCGGGGACGAUGAUGACGGUACCCGCAGAAGAAGCCCCGGCUAACUUCGUGCCAGCAGCCGCGGUAAUACGAAGGGGGCUAGCGUUGCUCGGAAUGACUGGGCGUAAAGGGCGCGUAGGCGGUUUGGUCAGUUAGACGUGAAAUUCCUGGGCUCAACCUGGGGACUGCGUUUAAGACGGCCAGGCUUGAGUGUGAAAGAGGGUCGUGGAAUUCCCAGUGUAGAGGUGAAAUUCGUAGAUAUUGGGAAGAACACCGGUGGCGAAGGCGGCGACCUGGUUCAUUACUGACGCUGAGGCGCGAAAGCGUGGGGAGCAAACAGGAUUAGAUACCCUGGUAGUCCACGCCGUAAACGAUGUGUGCUGGAUGUUGGGUGACC
rnacentral:rRNA from 1 species